AUGAACGCUAGCGACAGGCCUAACACAUGCAAGGUCAGGGGCAGCACAAGGAGCAAUCUGAGGUGGCGACCGGCGCACGGGUGAGUAACACGUAUGCAACCUGCCUGUAAGCGGGGAAUAACCCGUUGAAAGACGGACUAAUACCGCAUAAUACUAAAUUACUGCAUGGUAAUUUAUUUAAACAUUUAUGGCUUACAGAUGGGCAUGCGCAUGAUUAGCUAGUUGGAGAGGUAACGGCUCCCCAAGGCAACGAUCAUUAGGGGUUCUGAGGGGAAGGUCCCCCACACUGGUACUGAGACACGGACCAGACUCCUACGGGAGGCAGCAGUGAGGAAUAUUGGUCAAUGGACGAGAGUCUGAACCAGCCAAGUCGCGUGCAGGAAGAAUGUCCUUAAUGGAUUGUAAACUGCUUUUGCAGGGGAAUAAAGUGCAUCACGUGUGAUGUUUUGUAUGUACUCUGCGAAUAAGGAUCGGCUAACUCCGUGCCAGCAGCCGC
rnacentral:rRNA from 1 species